UUUUGACGACUUUUUUCAGGUUGA
rnacentral:siRNA from 1 species